CACGGUCAGACAAAGUAACUCAAUCCCUGAGCGAAAUCCGUACCAUUACAGAAGGAGGGCUUUAGACACCCCUGUCCUAUGGACUAAAACACCUCUUUAAUGCGGCCGUCUGGACGCUGCUUGCAUGGCGGGAAAUCGCGCUUAUCCCGUUUCAUAGACGGCGCCGCUACGCAGUUAGAACGCGCGCCCACAAAUUUACUGUAUAAGGAGGACAAUUUUUAAUGACAAGCG
rnacentral:sRNA from 12 species